rnacentral:rRNA from 1 species
UUCAACAACGGAUCUCUUGGUUCUGGCAUCGAUGAAGAACGCAGCGAAAUGCGAUAAGUAAUGUGAAUUGCAGAAUUCAGUGAAUCAUCGAAUCUUUGAACGCACAUUGCGCCCUCUGGUAUUCCAGAGGGCAUGCCUGUUCGAGCGUCAUUUCAACC